GUUGCAACCUUUCCCCUCACUUUUUCUUUCUUCCUUAUUUUUCUUCAACUUACACAUCACCUUGUCGCACCUGUUGGUAAUCAAGUGUAAGUUACUGGAAGCUGUUAAAUUGAUUCUCCAUUUUUGAUUAUUACAGUGGUAAUGAGAAGGCUAUUAGUGUGAAUUUGGAGGAGUUUAUGGCAGCAUCUUUAACACACCAAUUCAAGUGUGAGCCUAGUGGAGGAAGGACACUUAGUUGCUUAUUGUCAUUAGCACAUUGACCCACCAAAAUCAGUGCAAUUUACACACUUCAAAAGCACAAGGAAUAAGCUCCAUAUUUUGUGCACGUUAACAAUGCCAAAUCUACCGUGAAACACUUGGAGAAAUCAAAAUGCACGUAUUUAGAACAACCAAUGCAUAUUAGUAAAAGCCAGAAUCAUGCGUGAUCUUUCUCUCCUCUAACAUUAGAGCUAAAGGAACUUUUUUUAAAAGAAUCAUGUUGCAAAGGUCAUAAAAUUCCAAUGGAGCACUUGAUCUCUUUUCAAUUCUAUGUUCAUUUCUCAUUCUGAGUAACUGAAUUUCUGUAUUUAAUUAGGGAAUGAGAAAUCUCAACCCUAACUUGUGUAAUAUGAAGUUUUGUUCCUAAUUCAUGUUAACUUAAGAAAGUUC